CCAGACUCCUACGGGAGGCAGCAGUGGGGGAUAUUGCACAAUGGGGGAAACCCUGAUGCAGCGACGCCGCGUGGGCGAAGAAGUAUUUCGGUAUGUAAAGCCCUAUCAGCAGGGAAGAAGAAAUGACGGUACCUGAGUAAGAAGCACCGGCUAAAUACGUGCCAGCAGCCGCGGUAAUACGUAUGGUGCAAGCGUUAUCCGGAUUUACUGGGUGUAAAGGGAGCGCAGGCGGCACGGCAAGCCUGAUGUGAAAGCCCGCGGCCCAGCCGCGGGACUGCAUUGGGAACUACCGGGCUGGAGUGCCGGAGAGGUAGGCGGAAUUCCUAGUGUAGCGGUGAAAUGCGUAGAUAUUAGGAGGAACACCGGUGGCGAAGGCGGCCUGCUGGACUGCGACUGACGUUGAGGCCCGAAAGCGUGGGGAGCAAACAGGAUUAGAUACCCGGGUAAU
rnacentral:rRNA from 1 species